UCCGAAUAUUCGUUCGAGAUUGGUUCGUCCGUCCGUCCGCUGCUCCGCCUCUCGGUCUCCCCCGCUCGCCCGACGGUUCCAUCUCUUCCCGUCUCCCCCACCCUCGCACUCGGCCCGACCUCCUCCCCCCCCCCCCCACCCCCGCGUGCUGCCGUCGCCCCCAACCCCGCCCUCGCCGCCGUCGCCGUCUCCCCCACCUUGCUGCCGCCCUUGCGCUCUGCCCGCGCUCGACUCCACCGGCCGACGAAGGCCCCUCCACCGCGCAGAUCCAACCCCCCGCCGGUACCUCCGCACGCUCGGUCGGCUGGGGCGGCGCCUCACUCCCCUUCGCCCAGCGCCCUCACCGGUUCGCGCGACGCCGGCGCCGCGUCGCCGCUCGGCCCCGCCCGCCCCAACCCAGCCCGCUCCGUCCCGGCCGCCUUGUCGUUCGCGCUGCGCCGUCCCGGCUGCCGCUCCGUCGAGAGGUCCGCGCCGCCGCUCGGUCCCGCUCGCCCUGACCCGACCGCCGCGCCGUCGUCAGAUCCGCCGCCGACCCGCCCCUGGCACUCGCGCCGGACGCGACGUCCGCGUCGCCGCUCGGCCCCGCCCGCCGUGCCGUCCGCGCCCUCACCGGAUCGCGUGCUCGAUGGCGCGUGGCCGCCGCCGCCGCCUCUGCUCGGCUGACCGGUGCAGGGCGGAGGGAGGUCGCGCGCGCGGCGACGGGCCUCGGUGACGAGCUCGCAUUCGUCGCCCGCUCCACCGGUGACCCGCGCCUCAGCUCUCCCCCCGACCCCUCCCUUGGAUCCCAUCUCACCUCCGUGGCUCCGUCCGUCACCAAGCUCCCUCCCUUCCUCUCUCAUCUCCCAGAUCAUCUCCAGCCCCAAGCUCCCUCCCGUUCGAUGUCAAGUGUGAGUACCUGCUCUGGCUUUUCUCAUGGAUCUGACACUGCUACUUGUAAUCCUCUCGUUUUCAGUUUCUGCAGGUUCAGUGUGCCUCCACAACUUGGACGCAGAGCAGUUCAAGGAAUUUCUAUGGUGAUGAAUUUGCUCCUUGAGUACAAACUGUGACGAUGAGCAGAGCUAUUUCUCCAUGUUUUCAGGAAUUUUAUGCAUUGGGACGUGCCCUGAGCCUUCAUUCAUUACCUAAAAGUAGGAAAAUAUGAAGUGGUUCCAUAUAAUCCAACAUGAUCUACAAAUGAGUAAUUUAUCAUUUAACAGAAAAUGAUCUACAUGGCCCUUCUGUUAUUAUUACUCAUAAAUUUAAUGCACUUUUUGUUCAAUCGAUUUGUCUGGAUGCAAUUACCACAUAAUUGCUGCCUCAGAGUGUUCUUGGAAUCAUUCUUGGAGGUGGUGCGGGGACUAGAUUGUCCCCCCUGACAAACAAGCGUGCCAAGCCUGCAGUUCCAUUGGGUGCCAACUACAGGCUCAUUGAUAUCCCUGUCAGCAAUUGUCUCAACAGCAACAUCUCAAAGAUCUAUGUGCUGACACAGUCAAGAGCCUAGGGAAGCAACAUUGGAGGUUACAAGAAUGAAGGCUCAGGGCACGUCCCAAUGUGGAUUUGUUGAAGUGUUAGCCGCGCAGCAGAGUCCAGAUAAUCCAAAGUGGUUCCGGGUAUCUGUACUAAUGUUGUGUGUUCUCUGAUUUUCUCUAAUGUGGAAUGUGCCAUUUCAGUAGCAUGCACGUCGGGGGUUUCUAAUAUGAGAUUUCAGCCUUAUUCUGAGACUAAACAUAGAGUGAAACAAAGGGAUGCUGCUCUGCUCAUUUUGCAUGAAUUUCAUCGGGUAUAUGAAAUAAAGGGGUAUAUUUGAUGUGAUUAUGCACUGCAUGAAAAUAUAUCAUUUCUACUUUAUAUGC